rnacentral:rRNA from 1 species
CGCGGCCUAUCAGCUUGUUGGUGAGGUAACGGCUCACCAAGGCGACGACGGGUAGCUGGUCUGAGAGGACGAUCAGCCACACUGGGACUGAGACACGGCCCAGACUCCUACGGGAGGCAGCAGCAGGGAAUAUUGCACAAUGGGCGAAAGCCUGAUGCAGCGACGCCGCGUGAGGGAUGAAGGCCUCCGGGUCGUAAACCUCUUUCAGGAGGGACGAAGCGCAAGUGACGGUACCUCCAGAAGAAGCCCCGGCCAACUACGUGCCAGCAGCCGCGGUAAUACGUAGGGGGCAAGCGUUGUCCGGAUUCAUUGGGCGUAAAGAGCUCGUAGGCGGCUCGGUAAGUCGGCCGUGAAAUCCCGGAGCUCAACUCCGGGAGGCCGGUCGAUACUGCCGUGGCUAGGGUCCGGUAGAGGAGAGUGGAAUUCCCGGUGUAGCGGUGAAAUGCGCAGAUAUCGGGAGGAACACCUGUAGCGAAGGCGGCUCUCUGGGCCGGCACCGACGCUGAGGAGCGAAAGCUAGGGGAGCAAACAGGAUUAGAUACCCUGGUAGUCCUAGCUGUAAACGUUGGGUACUAGGUGUGGCGGAUUGAUUGAUGUCUGCUGUGCCGUAGCAAACGCAUUAAGUACCCCGCCUGGGGAGUACGG